rnacentral:rRNA from 1 species
UACAGGGGGUGCAAACGUUGCUCGGAAUCAUUGGGCGUAAAGGGCUCGUAGGCGGUUUGUCGCGUCGGGAGUGAAAACACCGGGCUUAACUCGGUGCUUGCUUUCGAUACGGGCAGACUGGAGGUAUGCAGGGGAGAACGGAAUUCCUGGUGUAGCGGUGAAAUGCGCAGAUAUCAGGAGGAACACCGGUGGCGAAGGCGGCCAUCUGGACCGUUUCUGACGCUGAGGCGCGAAAGCGUGGGGAGCAAACGGGG